rnacentral:rRNA from 1 species
UACGUAGGGGGCAAGCGUUAUCCGGAUUCACUGGGUGUAAAGGGAGCGUAGACGGCAGAGCAAGUCUGAAGUGAAAGCCCGCGGCCCAACUGCGGGACUGCUUUGGAAACUGCCCGGCUAGAGUGCUGGAGAGGUAAGCGGAAUUCCUAGUGUAGCGGUGAAAUGCGUAGAUAUUAGGAGGAACACCAGUGGCGAAGGCGGCUUACUGGACAGUAACUGACGUUGAGGCUCGAAAGCGUGGGGAGCAAACAGG